rnacentral:rRNA from 1 species
UACGGAGGGAGCUAGCGUUGUUCGGAAUUACUGGGCGUAAAGCGCAUGUAGGCGGCUUUGUGAGUUAGAGGUGAAAGCCCGGGGCUCAACCCCGGAAUUGCCUUUAAGACUGCAUCGCUUGAAUCCAGGAGAGGUGAGUGGAAUUCCGAGUGUAGAGGUGAAAUUCGUAGAUAUUCGGAAGAACACCAGUGGCGAAGGCGGCUCACUGGACUGGUAUUGACGCUGAGGUGCGAAAGCGUGGGGAGCAAACAGG